GCCUACGGGGGGCAGCAGUGAGGAAUAUUGGUCAAUGGGCGGGAGCCUGAACCAGCCAAGUCGCGUGAGGGAGUACUGCCCUAUGGGUUGUAAACCUCUUUUGUCGGGGAGCAAAAGCCGGACGUGUCCGGCUGUGAGAGUACCCGAAGAAAAAGCAUCGGCGAACUCCGUGCCAGCAGCCGCGGGAAUACGGAGGAGGCGAGCGUGAUCCGGAUUUAUUGGGGUUAAAGGGGGCGCAGGCGGAUUUUUAAGUCAGCGGUCAAAUCGGGGGGCUC
rnacentral:rRNA from 1 species